rnacentral:lncRNA from 1 species
CCGAGACCCUGCGGGCGGCACUCUCCUUCAGCCUGGGAACCUCUCCGGGAUGGUGGAAGUGUGCCAGCCAGCUGCGUUGGCCCUCGUGUUACCACAGCCUCGCCACAGGAAAAGCCGCUCUUACAGCCUUAAAUCCAUUCGAGGAAAUAUGUGUACCCUGUCCUCCGGAAAACGUCAUGGCUGGAAAGAGGCAACAUUCAUUAGAGGUUGUGACAGUUCCUCUCUUAUUUUGCCUUCCCCGAAGCCCCCUUAGAAUUUUCUAGAAGACCACUCAGGCAUAGGCGCUUCCCAGGGGAGUGCCAUUAGUUGCAUCUAUGCUGGGCCUUCUAGAACAUUCUCUCCAUCAGCUGAUGCAGCUGACUCACUGUGCUGUUUUUUGCCUUGGGCUUGUGGUCGUUUUUUAAUUUGAAGGAUGCUUGUCAUGUGCACUUAAACACAUUGCAAAAUGGUGUCACGUCCCAAGAACUUUGUGAACAAAUAAACAUUUUAGUCAAAGCGUCUCUCAUUUCUCUGCAAAAGGGAAAAAUGUGGCCUUUGCAUCAGCCUGAAGCCAACGGCCUGAUUCCCAGGAAAGCAGAUCCCCUGUCGGGCUUCCCAGAUGACCCUGAGUAGACCCUGUACCGCGUGUGCGGGGGGAGGAGGGGCCUCAGUGCUCCUGCAAACCGCAUGUUGUCCCGGUGCAUGAGCCGGUGGCACCUGGCACAGUGCAAGCUCUUCUGGGGAUGGUCCUUAACGCCCACCUGACUCUCAGGGGGCCGGGAGACCCCACGGGGCAGGAAGCACUCCCCGCUGCACAGCAGGUGGCUGCCGGCUUCUUGUUGGCAGCUCCAGGCAAGGGCUGGGUAUGGUGAGAACGUCUCUCCAGUGCCCGGCAGGCGGCACGGAGCCUGUGGUUGGAGAGCCCUCCUGGGCGAAGGAAACACGAAAGAAAAACAAACCCGAAAAGAGAGCUGUAACAGGAGACAGCUGUGUAAAGCUGGACACCUAAGGGCUGCAGGCUCAGGGGCCGUGAGGACUCAACCUGCCACAGGAGGGGACAACGAGGAGACUCACCCAGGACGAAGAAAUGAACUUCUGAGAAGGUGCGCCACCAGCCCGCACUCGGGGAGUGUGGGGUCUACACUCACCCCCCCGCAGCAUGGGCUGGAAACUGCAGAGGUGAAGUCAGAGGCAAGUUCUCCAGGACACUGGCUGGAGCAGGCCCAGGGGCUUCUGGAAGGCCGAGGCUGCAGCCCAGGUGGACAGAAGGCAGCGUGGAGCAUCAGACGCCCUGGACUCCGGAGGUGCUUAAAUGGGCG